AUUGAACGCUGGCGGCAGGCCUAACACAUGCGAGUCGAGCGGAUGAAGGGAGCUUGCUCCUGGAUUCAGCGGCGGACGGGUGAGUAAUGCCUAGGAAUCUGCCUGGUAGUGGGGGAUAACGUCCGGAAACGGGCGCUAAUACCGCAUACGUCCUGAGGGAGAAAGUGGGGGAUCUUCGGACCUCACGCUAUCAGAUGAGCCUAGGUCGGAUUAGCUAGUUGGUGGGGUAAAGGCCUACCAAGGCGACGAUCCGUAACUGGUCUGAGAGGAUGAUCAGUCACACUGGAACUGAGACGCGGUCCAGACUCCUACGGGAGGCAGCAGUGGGGAAUAUUGGACAAUGGGCGAAAGCCUGAUCCAGCCAUGCCGCGUGUGUGAAGAAGGUCUUCGGAUUGUAGAGCACUUUAAGUUGGGAGGAAGGGCAGUAAGUUAAUACCUUGCUGUUUUGACGUUACCAACAGAAUAAGCACCGGCUAACUUCGUG
rnacentral:rRNA from 1 species